ACUGCUCAAACUCUCUCUUAAUUACUCAAAUUCCCCUCUUUAAAUACAACUCCUCCUCUCCUUCAUUAAUGAGGGCUAGGACAAAUCUGGGGUUCACAAAUCACAGAGAGUUCCCCUUUUUUAAUUUCUGGGAACGAGAGCUCAAAAACACCGCCGUCAAGCUUCGCUCUCUCCCUCUGCUCAAGCUCCGCUCCAAGCUCUCCAAAUUCGAGAAUAGGGUUUCCCUUUUAUAGGGAAACCCUAGGACGAGCUCAUCUCCAGCUGGGUUCAGCUGGUUCCAACCACGCGACAGGCGAGCUCGAUGCUCCCAACAGGCGAGCUUCGAGCGUUCCAUCAAGCGAGCCCCCUUGCCUUCGCAUCCUCUCAAGACCUUGCCAUCAGGCGAGCUGACCUCGCCAUCAGUCGAGCUCCUCACCUGUCCAGGCCCUCGUCUUCAGGCAAGAUCUCGAUCUACAUGUGUGUUUUCUUCAUAAGGGAGGCCCAACAAAGAGAAAGGCAUAGCAUGAAGCAAUAAAAAAUAUCAAGGGCAAAGCUAAAAAAAGGCUGCAAUAUAAUCCAAUGCCAAAGGAAAAAAAAAAGAGCAUCCACUACACAAAAAAUAAAAAAGUGGCAACUAGCUAAAGAUAAUGAGAGUAUUUGCAGCAAUACUUUUGAUGACAUGGAUAGCAUGGCUAAGGAAUAUAACGUAAACCUUCAAAUCUUGAAGUUUUGGUAUGGUCAGCUUCAUGGUACUGGAAGCAUGCAAUCGAUGGUCUUCAUUGCUAAAGAUGAAAAGGUCUUUCCUAAACCACAACACUCUAAAAUUAUGUUUUUCACAAUAAAAACUUACACAUUCUUGUACAAUUAUAUCUUUAAAAUUUGCGGCUUGUGUGUCUAUUUCUUUUGGACUCUUGUCCACAUGUGUUCUUAAAGAGCUAACAACAACCAGCACGUAACAAGGUAGUUGCAGACAAAAAUUUGUACCAGUUGGGCUAGCUGACCUGUGGAAAUCUAUGCUUGAGGAGGGUUUAGCAUAUGUUGUUUCAAGGGCUUCUGUUGUUGAUUCAAACUACUAUAUCAAACUUAUUGAUCAUAAGCACCAAUUGAUUUUUACUUAGAGGACAACUUCUACCAUUAUGUCGGACACGAAUAUUCCACUAGAACUAUUAUAUAUAUGGAAAAGCAUGACACUCUUCAACAAACUGAAAAUGCCAAUGGAGUCGAAUCAUCUAAAGAACCUACAACAGAGGCUGAAGUUCUCAAAGGUUAUUAUCUAUUUCUCUCUUUAGUUUUCUUUACAACUCAGACUUUAUCUCAUAUACUCAUCAUGCUAAUUUUCAUGCUUAGAAAGAAAACUCUCAUCCACAACAAUUAUGCAGUGCAUAAUGUAUACUCCACAAGUAUAAUAAUUUCAGUGCAUGCAUAAUAAAUUAAUCUUCUGAAGCAUUAUUUAUUGUUCAAUUUUCUCACUAACUGAUCAAAUGGUCAUUUUAAACUGUGGUUCUUCAUUUUCAAAAUGCAAAGAAAAUCAAUGUUACAGAAAAAGGAUUGCAAACUUGCUAAGGCUGUCUUAUUAUAGCUGAUGUCCUCACAUUUGCCAUUGAUGUCCACCCUUCUACUAGAAGACAUACAAAGAAUAAGCUUAUCUACUAUGCUCAGGUCUUCAUGACAGACGAAAUUAUAUUUCCAAGAGUUUGUGUGCUACCUGGAAGGAAGAAUAUUACAAACGAACUAAAGAGUUUUGUCUACCAUUUAAGAAACAGUUUGUCCGUCUUGCGAGUGGCCUCAAAACAAACAAUUUUCACGAGCGUCAAGGGCUGUAGACAAGCACAUUCUCAAGAUUCAACAUUGAUCCAGAGGACAUGCUUGAGUCUAGAUUGCUUCUCAAAGAAGUGAUGAACAAAGCAGGCCAACUUCGCGCUUGUAAAGCCGAGAUAUCAUCAUUCAGUGAAAUUUAUUGUAAAGCUCCUGAUGUGAUUCACACAAUUAGCCAACUUCGUGCUCUUACUAUCUCCCCACCCAUUCUUGACAAGGAUUUGUACUACAUAAUCUGAGCAACUGUAUUGCGUGUUUAUACUGAGUUCUCAAUGACUUAUCGUGCAUGUGCAAUCUGUCCGAAAGGCAUGAAAGUAUGAACUUAAUGACCGCUAUGAUUGCCCAAGCCCAAAUUGUGCCAAUCGUCAAGGGAAAACAACACAGAGGUACAAGAUUACGACCGAUGUCAAAGAUGAAACGGGUAGCCUGAACUUGAUAGCUUUUAACCAUGAUGUAGAAGAAAUUCUCGAAGUCCCUGCUCCGGAACUAAAGCAAAAUAAAGCAGAGUGUAUUUUUCGAUAAUAUAGUUUUUACCACGCAAAAAAAAGGAAUAAAAUGGAAAUGAAGUAGAUCAAUUUUACAUUUCUAGGGGAAUGGGCUCUUCAAGAUCCAAAACAUUAUCACCAAAGCUAUCGGAAAAACUUUCAAGUUUGUGGUUCAUUAUGAUUAUGCAAAUCACAAGUCGAGCUUAAAAGGGCACUAUACAGUCAGCUCAAUGGAUUGAUCUCCUAGGGUAUUUAUCCCAGUGCAAAAUAUGGGUGAAGCACUUCACGAAAAUACUAGAUCAUUUGCAUCAUCUGGCGAAGGAGUUGGUUCUGCUGCGAGCGAUGAAAUAGUACAAGAGCUUGCUUUUGAAGCUGACUCCGAUGAAGGCUCUCAGUAGAUUUACAUGUUAAACAGUCCAUGCUUGCUUGCUUAACCUUUUGGCAUGUAAAUAUGAUGUUCUAGAUACUUCAAAUAUUUUGAAAGAUAGAGCGUUUGUCUUAUGUUAAAACUUCAAUGUUUUCCAAUGAUUUUUCUUCUUGUCUCA